ACUGCCAAACCCUGGGGACGCUCGUGCGUGCGUGUGCGCGCGCGCGGGCACAACGGAGGCUUUUCAAAGCCGAAACAGGAAACCGUUUUCCUACUGCCAAAAGCCACACCUCUUUAUCAGUUGCGAGAGAGACCCACAGAGACAUUCUUCUGCCUGGUAUUUGCUAUUGCCAUAUUCUUGUGCUCUUCAACAAGAAGCAUUUUAGUUUGCUGCUGAAAUGAUAUGGGUGAAUGCCAAUAGAAGUGAAGUCCUUCACUUAAAAUGGAAAAAAUAAACAGCUCAAGCAAAAACAUCUGCCAAAGUAAAGCAAGUUUAAUCUUGUC